AACAAACGCUGGCGGCGUGCCUAAUACAUGCAAGUCGAACGGGGAAAGCUUUCGGGUGAGUACUAGUGGCGCACGGGUGAGGAACGCGUGGAUAAUCUGCCUUAGAGUGGGGGAUAACUAGUCGAAAGAUUAGCUAAUACCGCAUAAGACCACAAGAACUGCGGUUCAAGGGGUCAAAGGUUUUUCGCUCUAAGAUGAGUCCGCGUAAGAUUAGCUAGUUGGUGAGGUAACGGCUCACCAAGGCGACGAUCUUUAACUGGUCUGAGAGGAUGAUCAGUCACACUGGAACUGAGACACGGUCCAGACUCCUACGGGAGGCAGCAGUAGGGAAUAUUGCACAAUGGAGGAAACUCUGAUGCAGCGACGCCGCGUGAGUGAUGAAGGCCUUCGGGUCGUAAAGCUCUGUCGCAGGGGAAUAACACAAUGAAGGUACCCUGUAAGAAAGGAUCGGCUAACUUCGUGCCAGCAGCCGCCGUAAGAC
rnacentral:rRNA from 1 species